rnacentral:lncRNA from 1 species
GGUGAAUGGGCCAGACCCGCAGCCUUUGUGUGCGUACAGCACGAGCUUCCCGGCGCUGCGGGAGAGCGGUCCUCAGGAACAGCAUUAUCAAAAUUAAUCCUUCGGGGAGAAGCACACUGAAAUCCACUGCAGCUCUGAAUGAUGACUUCAGCUGUUUCAUAAAUCACCACAGCUCCACCGAAGACAAGCAAGGCACCCAGACAUGCCCUUGUUCGGAGAUGAGUGAUACUGAGUUGUUGCUGUCAGCUCAGAGAAAGAGGAAAAGACUUUUCUCUCUUCAAGCCCAUCUGGAUAACUCCAAUUUCAGAAGAACGAUGCACAUCAUUGAAAUAUUUAUGCCAUGCCUUUGAAGAAAUACACCUCAUAUUUCAAGAACUCACCAGGCUGAGGUUUAUGAAGACUAUUUAAAGCUGUGGCUCUUCCAUUCCUUCCUGCCGUGAGAGAGUCAUGUCUUUGGGACCUCAAGGUGCAGGGGACAAGAGGAUAGCCCUGGGGAGCACUGAUAGCACAUACCCUGGGUCCCUCAUAACCUUCCUUGAGCUGAACACGGCACUGCCGGGCAUCACUGCCCUUGUGGCUUUCAGACUCAGCAACCAGAACAUAGGCUGGACAGGAGGUUUCUUGAGCAAAGCUAUUCUGGGCAGCACCGCAGCACCAGUCACCCCAGUGCUGCGCCCAGCUGGAAGGAAAUAUAGAUGUAACUGUAAUAUUGCCUCCUUUGUCAGAGUGUAGGGGACCACUGUGUAAGCAUUUGUGGUGGGGAGAGCCCAGCUUUGCCACAAGGCACCCCUCUUCCCUCUGAAUAAUAAACAUAUUUUAGAUUUUUAGCA